ensembl:lncRNA
GACGUGAGGAAGGGAAGCAGGAAAGGAGAGAGGUACAAAGGAAGGGAGGGACGGAAGGAGGAAGGAAGAGAGGGAGUGAGGGAAAAAGGAAGGCGUGAAGGAAGGCAGGGAGGGAGGGAGGCAGGAAGGAAAGAAGACAGAGAGGGAGGAAGAGAGGGGGUGAGGGAAAAAGGAAAGCACAAAGGCAAGCAGGAAAGAAGAGAGGGAGGAAGGGAGUGAGGUAAAAAAGACAGGAAGGCAGGCUGGAAGGAAGGCAGGGAGGGAGGAACGCAGGAAGGAAGGGAGAACGGGAGGGAGGAAGGAAGGAAGGAAAGGAAGAGAGUAAAGACUGGAGGGAGGGAGGAAGGCAUGGCGGGAGGGAGGGAGGAAGGCAUGGCGGGAGGGAGGGAGGGAGGCAGGCAGGCAGAGGGGGAGGGAGGGAGGAAGAAAGGAAAGGAAGGGGGGGAGAAUGGGAGGGAGGUAGGUAUGAAGGAAGUGGGGGAGGAAGGAAGGAAGAGAGGGAGUGAGAGAAAGUGACAGGAAAGCACGAAGGAGGGGAGGAAGGAAAAAAGGGAGG